rnacentral:rRNA from 1 species
CCUGCCUCAUACAGGGGGACAACAGCUGGAAACGGCUGCUAAUACCGCAUAAGCGCACGGUACCGCAUGGUACAGUGUGAAAAACUCCGGUGGUAUGAGAUGGGCCCGCGUUGGAUUAGGUAGUUGGUGGGGUAACGGCCUACCAAGCCGACGAUCCAUAGCCGACCUGAGAGGGUGACCGGCCACAUUGGGACUGAGACACGGCCCAAACUCCUACGGGAGGCAGCAGUGGGGAAUAUUGCACAAUGGGCGCAAGCCUGAUGCAGCGACGCCGCGUGAGCGAAGAAGUAUUUCGGUAUGUAAAGCUCUAUCAGCAGGGAAGAAAAUGACGGUACCUGACUAAGAAGCUCCGGCUAAAUACGUGCCAGCAGCCGCGGUAAUACGUAUGGAGCAAGCGUUAUCCGGAUUUACUGGGUGUAAAGGGAGCGUAGACGGACUUGCAAGUCUGAUGUGAAAGGCUGGGGCUCAACCCCCGGGACUGCAUUGGAAACUGCAGGUCUUGAGUGCCGGAGAGGUAAGCGGAAUUCCUAGUGUAGCGGUGAAAUGCGUAAAUAUUAGGAGGAACACCAGUGGCGAAGGCGGCUUACUGGACGGUAACUGACGUUGAGGCUCGAAAGCGUGGGGAGCAAACAGGAUUAAAUACCCUGGGUAGUCCACGCCCGUAAACGAUGUCAACUA